rnacentral:lncRNA from 1 species
AGUCGUUGGUAAUUAUAGCUACCGAUUCCAAAUUCACCUCAGGAGUCGAUGGUAGCUAUACUUACCAAUAGUCGGGGUUCCGUUAGGGUGACCAAUUUUAUGGAUUAACUAGUUUUAAAAGCUAGUAUAGAUUAUAAAAUUAUACUAGUAUUGUGUACUAUAAAAAUCCUUACUAGGUGGUAUUUGCAUCUCUUCCCUAUGAGUUGGUAACAUUAAAAAAACAACUGUUAAAGUCUGACGAGUGUUGGUCGAGUCUACUGUCAACUACUGUGUUUGCGAGUGAGUGUUUUAGACAAGAAAUAUGCCCAGAUGCCCAGGAUAUUGAUUACAGGGUACACCAAAUUUGGUCAACUUUCAUCAUGAGAUGCUAUAGUUCAGCUAUAGAGAGGAGACAGAGAGUAAUUACAAAAAAAAAAAAACGAAUUACCAAACUGUCAGUAGAUGUCCGACAGGAGCUUACGGACAGAAAGCGGCAGGCGCAAUUAGAUUUUGCAAUAAGGCCGCCUUUUGUCUCUAGUGUCUCGAUUUAUUUAUGUUUGGUACGUCAUUUUGUGCAAUCAAGUAUAUUGUAUUGUAAGACUGUCAUUUUAAAUUCUAAUAAAAAAAUAUAUUUUUAAGGUCCGAAUGAUAAGUGCUUGGUAAAAAAUGUAAAUAAAACAAGCAUUCAAUUAUAAAUUGGUUUUAGUUCAUAUUAAUAAACCUUAAUUUUUCUA